rnacentral:rRNA from 1 species
CCUACGGGAGGCAGCAGUGGGGAAUAUUGGGCAAUGGAGGAAGCUCUGACCCAGCGACGCCGCGUGCGGGAUGAAGGCCUUCGGGUUGUAAACCGCUUUCAGCAGGGAAGAAGCGAAAGUGACGGUACCUGCAGAAGAAGCACCAGCUAACUAUGUGCCAGCAGCCGCGGUAAUACAUAGGGUGCAAGCGUUGUCCGGAAUUAUUGGGCGUAAAGAGCUCGUAGGUGGUUCGUCACGUCGGAUGUGAAAAUCUGGGGCUUAACCCCAGACCUGCAUUCGAUACGGGCGAGCUUGAGUAUGGUAGGGGAGUCUGGAAUUCCUGGUGUAGCGGUGGAAUGCGCAGAUAUCAGGAGGAACACCAAUGGCGAAGGCAGGACUCUGGGCCAUUACUGACACUGAGGAGCGAAAGCGUGGGGAGCGAACAGGAUUAGAUACCCUGGUAGUCCACGCCGUAAACGGUGGGCACUAGUUGUGGGGACCUUCCACGGUCUCUGCGACGCAGCUAACGCAUUAAGUGCCCCGCCUGGGGAGUACGAUCGCAAGAUUAAAACUCAAAUGAAUUGACGG